CUUUCCAACAGAGUCAGAGACAAACUUACAGGUCGAGACUUUUCCCAUGAUGAGACGCUGGAUGUGCCAACACAAGUAGAGCUCCUCAUAAAGCAAGCCACAUCACAUGAGAACCUGUGCCAGUGCUACAUUGGAUGGUGUCCAUUUUGGUGAUGAGGUGUCUUUGGCAGCCAAGAAGAAGCACUCAAAUAGGUAUCCACUGAACAAUAUAUUAAGCCACAGUGCGGAGCUGCUAAGAAGGUUUUUCUUUAUAAUAUAGUCAUUGCUUCAAAUGGCUUUCUUUGCUUUAAUGAUUUCUACAGUGGCCAUAUUUUAAUAAGUUAUGACAUUUCAUACUUCACACACUGUAUGCUACUUAGAGAACCACCUGCCUGUUGUAUUAUUGUGUAUUAAUGUGACAAGUUUCUAAUACUUGAUUUGCUUUUUACUAACUUAAACAUUCUUCAAGGGUCACUAUUGAUAAGACAUAAGUGAAAUUUGAUUUGAAGUAUAAUGCACUGUAUGGGCAUCUGUGUGCCAAUAAACCCUGUGCAGAUACCA